CGCAGGGUGGAGCAGUUGGCAGCUCGUUGGGCUCAUAACCCAAAGGCCGUAGGUUCGAGUCCUACCCCUGCUA
rfam:Spirochaetaceae bacterium 4572_59 ex4572_59_scaffold_1327, whole genome shotgun sequence.